CGGUUCGGCUUUUGGAAGAGACCCACGACGACGACGACCCAGCUGUGAGGACCGCCGUCGCCGCUGUUGGCUCGCUAUCAGUUGGCCUAUUCAGUCAGUAGGGAAAAAUACGUUCUCCGAGCGAGAGAUAACGUAUGUUCUGCGCGGUUCGCGGCAAAAGAAGAAGACGCGCGGCUUCGAGUUCGACCAACCGAGUGUGUUCCGCGCGUUUCGAUCCGAAGGCGAGAUAGUGUUUUCGAGCUGUGGAGACCGAGGAGACGAGUGCAGGCGACUUUUCUUGUGAAUUUUUGGUCCGGGAAGGAGAAGGACUUUCUUGGCUUGCUUGGCUUGACGACGUUAACGACGGAAGAACGCGGCGGCAAACUAGGAAACGGUGUGACCAGGGUCAGGGUUGCCGAAAAUCGAAAAAGCACGUGACUGGAGUCAGACGAAUGGGAAACAGUCGGGAGAUUGAAUACAGUGAGAAGUGAGCGUCAGUGAAACUAUUGUCAGUUUGAUUCCAUUUGAUGCAUCAAAUACUUUCAAUUGGACGUUUCUUAGGAAAGCCAAUGUGGAUGUUUAAAAGGAUGUAAAAAGUGGUGAAUAAAAAGAAGUGGUGAAUUUGAAGAUAAGAAUUAUCGACGAAUUUUGAUCCAGAAGAAUUGAUAACAGUUGAUGGUAAAAAUAACUUCCAAGCGUGUGAAGAUUAAUUAAGAGAUAGUUGAAGAACAGUGAAGUUCCUCGUGAAAAUCGUAGAAGAAGAAUUCAACACGAAUACGAAGUAAAUCAGAGUUCAAACCAAUCCUCAACGUACAUAUAUCUCUACGGUAAAGAACAAACCGAAUUAAAGCAAUCAGAUUGAAGAAGUUCACCUGUCGGAAAUAGUGCCACUACCACCGACCCCAUACAAUCACAGUCAGAGAUCGAGACAGGACAGAGGGAGGUGCACACUGUGCAACGAAGAGGAAGAAAUAAUAGUCGACGGAAAUCCGUUCCGGCACAGAAGGCGCAGUGCUAGCUAGAGUGAGUGCUCACACGGGAGGAGGCAUCGGAUGCAGUCCAAAACCAUCAGAAUAAACAAGACGACUGUAUCGACGACGACGACGACGACGGCGACGAGAGCGAUGUAAUUAUGCUAAUCGAGUGCGAAUGAUCCCCGCGCCAUCAUAACAGAAAAGUGGUUCCAGUUAGCACAGAGCACGGAGCUAACUUGGUCCGACGCCGAUCCGGUCAACAGUGAAGUUCGCGUGAAGAGCGAGGGUGGCGCGCGCGCGCGGCCGGCUGCACGCAACCAAAGUGUGUGAAAAGCAAAGCAGGCGUUGAAUAGGCUGUGGUGGUGACCAAGAAGACCAGGAGUGGCGCUCGACUCGAGCGACAGAGAAGCGACAAAUUGAAUUCGGAGAGUGUAGGAGGAAGAUAAGGUGAAAAUCGACGGAAUUGGAAAAACUGCUGCUGCUGGGAGAUCUUAGCCGGACGAAGUGAAGUGAAGUCAAGAUCACGGUCUGCCAGGGGGGUAACUGCUGCAACCUGUCGGUCGGCGACUGAGGAAAGGUGAGUUGUUUGUGUUUAUUUGGUUCACUGCUUGGCUGGUUGGAGCUGGUCAUUCUCCUCCACCCUACUAGCGAAUGGAUGACGGUUAAACGACACAGGUGGCCCCAUGCAGCUCUGCUGUCGAGAGUCGAGUCUCGAUUCGAGACUCGAGACUCGGGACUGAGUUGAGACCGACCGAAACUCAUUACGCCCACGUGUGUGUAUGCAGAGGAAAAUUAGCGUGUCGUUCGGAGGGUUUGCCUUUUGCAUUGGAAUUGGAUUUUGGGUGGUGGCUGCUGUCUCAUUAAUCAGUUUUUUCGCUUUUUGAAAUGUAUAUUAGAAUGUCAUGGAUGACAUUUAUCAGUGUCGCAGUAAAUUUAGAUUAUGACGGGCUUAUGGUUUGUGACAAAAAAUGAGCUACUUCCG